rnacentral:piRNA from 1 species
UAUUCUAUGGUGUUCUGUCACCCGACAGUC